CAGGUAACCCGCUUAACUAGCGUGCGGGGAUCGCAACG
rnacentral:rRNA from 1 species